GGCGGACGGGUGAGUAAUGUCUGGGAAACUGCCCGAUGGAGGGGGAUAACUACUGGAAACGGUAGCUAAUACCGCAUAACGUCGCAAGACCAAAGAGGGGGACCUUCGGGCCUCUGCCAUCGGAUGUGCCCAGAUGGGAUUAGCUAGUAGGUGGGGUAACGGCUCACCUAGGCGACGAUCCCUAGCUGGUCUGAGAGGAUGACCAGCCACACUGGGACUGAGACACGGCCCAG
rnacentral:rRNA from 1 species